ensembl:lncRNA
UCGUUACACAGACUUUCUCUAGUUAUGGUUCAGGAUCAGGCACAAGUAUGCCCUGGCCUGGACCUCAGUGAUUGGACAUCCCUGGGAUACACCUGGUGCAUACCUGGAGCGUACCUUCCAGGCUUCCGGCCACUAGUCCAUCUUGAUCCUGCUCAACCAGUGUCAGAAGGACAACAGGCAUCUGAAUGGAAUCACUUUUCCUGCUGAAACACAAAAUUGGGAACACGCACGGGGUGCUCACUACAGGCCAGGCCUGAUCCUCAGCACUUCACACUCAUUAUGGACUCACAACCGCCAGUGCUGCUGGCCAAGAAUGGUGCUUCCUGCCCAUCCUGUGGGUGAGGUCAUGUGACUAGUUCUAACCAAAGAGCUGUGAGUGAAACUGACACAUAUUAUUCCCAUGCUAGAGCUUAGGGACCCCAUGGACUGCAGCCUACCAGGCUCCUC